CACCGGCACUUCUGCGUCUGCGCCAGCCCCGCGUGGAGCCCCAGACCGUUGGGGAGAGCGGUGAGGCAGCAUCUCCUGGUAGAGCUCUGAGCCGGUGAGAGUGCGCCCCGCAGAACCGAGCCCAGCGCCCAACCCUUGGGCUCCUCCACUGCUCCUCCAGGCCGUCCUCUUGGGCCAGGUCCACAUCCAGCUCUGUUCUGUUCCAGAUCCAGCCUGUUCCUGAUCCAGUGGGUUCCAGCUCCAGUGGGUUCCAGCUCCAGUGGGUUCCAGCUCCAGUGGGUUCCAGUUCCUGAUCCAGCUCCAACCUGUUCCUGAUCCAGCAGGUUCCACAUCCAGCUCCGGCGGGUUCUGGACCCAGCUCGGGCCAGUUCCAGAUCCAGCCAGGCUGCCCUAGAGCUGACCAAUGGCUUUAUCUAAGCACCAGAUGGCCGAGGGGACGGAAAUGAGCCAAGACCUCCAUGCAUGCGCCUGUAACCAACGUUUCUGCCUGGCGACCAGAGACUCUGAGAAGCUGGACUUGUCUUCCUCGGUGCUCAGCGACCCGACAUCUCCUUCCGUGCACCUGCAGCGACUGGGACCUGCUUCAGUGACUGUAGACCUUGACCUCUGAUGGCCAAGGCUUCCCGCGGUAAUAGGUAAUAGAUGUAGGCUUUGCCUUGUGAGCUCAGAGCAGGCAUUGCAGUUGCCCAACAUGGUUUUCAUUCUGUAACAUCCACGCUUUUCUUACUGGUCUUAAUGCUUAGGGACCAAAAGGGCCUUAAAAUGCCUCCCUGUGACCUUGUCUUACUCUGUGUGCCGGAACUGUUACCUUUAUUGUUCAAAGACCUCGAGGCGCCUGCUAGCUUUCUUAAUGCUUACUGACUAGAUCUGGAAGGCCUGUAUUAACUUUGUAUUAACAUUUAGUGACUUAAGACCCUGAUCCCCCCAAUGCCGAAUAUUUCCCAGCAUACUUACUACCCCCACCCCCUGCCCCUGGUUUUUUAUGCGGCCCUUAAGGUUCCCUGGUCAUGUGCCCCUGCUCUCUGUGUCCCAGUUCUGGUGUUUUCCCUCUUGAUCCCAGUGGCCUUUAGGUGAUGGAAGGAAAGUGUUAGAUUUGCUAUUGACACGUUCUCCAGGAAGCUCUUGCCAAACUGUUCCACAAGUCUCAAAAAUAAAUUGUUUUUUGCUUCAGAAAACA
rnacentral:lncRNA from 1 species